GAGGCUGGAAGCCCCCGCGGGCAGACUCUCACACUCGACAUGAUUGUUCUUCACCAGCUGUGUGACCCCCAAACCCCUGACCAUUAACUCCCCCGGCCAACACCAAAACCACCAGCAGGUGUUGUGCAAAACUUCCUGGGACAUUUUUUUUUGCAAAAGAUACCACCUCUUUCCAAUGAAUUUGUGCGCAUUUCAACGUCAAAUGAGAGGUCCGAUGAAGUUUGUUCCGCCACCACAACUUCAAUAACAAAGACACCGAGAACUACUAAAGGUGUUUGAGCUCCUCUUCGUGAUCCAACCCUGCAGAGCGGUACCAUUGCUGCUUCGCUGCUGCUUCAUUGUGAGCAUGUCCACUCCGGAGAGCCUAGCUUUCCUCAUCGCGGAGGUGGCACGUGGACAGCCUGACAGACUGCAAAAGCAAUUACAUAUACAAUGUUUUAUUCAGUCCAU